rnacentral:rRNA from 1 species
GGGUUCCGGGGAAAGGGAGGCCUCUGAUACAAGCUUUCGCCUUAAGAUGAGCCCAUGGCCCAUCAGCUAGUUGGUAGGGUAAAGGCCUACCAAGGCUACGACGGGUCGCUGGUCUGAGAGGACGACCAGCCACACUGGCACUGAGAUACGGGCCAGACUCCUACGGGAGGCAGCAGUGAGGAAUAUUGCGCAAUGGGGGAAACCCUGACGCAGCAACGCCGCGUGUGGGAAGAAGGCCUUCGGGUCGUAAACCACUUUUGCACGGGACGAAAAAGGGAUAUCGAACAAAUAUCCCCGAUGACGGUACCGUGAGAAUAAGCCACGGCUAACUCUGUGCCAGCAGCCGCGGUAAGACAGAGGUGGCAAGCGUUGUUCGGAAUUACGUGGGCG